UUGACACAUGGCCAGUUUAAUCCAUUGUUCUUAUUUUACCAAUGGUGAUUAACCCCAAAGGAAUUUCAUUUUAGUCCUGGUUCAAAAGCAUUACCAUAUCUUUGAUAACUUGAGAACAUUAAAUUUUAGGAUUUUGAAUAGUCUAUUCUGCAGGGUGUAGUUACUUGAAUACAUUUUCAGCACCAUCAGAGUACACAUUAAUUCUAAAAUUUUGGAAAUAAUACUUUGGAUGCCACAAAACAUCAGUAAGAGAAAAUGGGAGCAAUGGUCCUUCAUGACUAUGACUUACAAGGAAGCAGAAAUUUUAACUAAAAUGUCCAUUUUUGUGAGAUGUAACAUAUUUCAGGCUUAUUUUAUAGUUCAUCUUUUUAUGUUGCAUCUAACCUAAAAGCAAACGUUGGAUUGUCUAUAUAUUAUAAUCAAAUUUCAGAUGACUUUAGUAGAUGAUCAGACUUCUUUAUUUGUGUUAAAAUUCAAACAAAUGACUCUAUAAACAGGACUUAGUAUUCAGUCCCUGACUAAAAGGACCCAUGUAGACUAAUAAACCUAACAUAACAGUCUAGUGACUGAGACAAGACAAUAUGUGUCAUCACCAAAAGUUGAAAUAAUAAGACCUAUGUUUGUGGGAAAAUAAUCAUGGAUUAAAACAAGAUAAAAUAUGUUCUUAACGGCUUUGGCAGUAGAAAGGUUUUUUAAUGGAGGUAUUAAUAUGGUAUAUUUUAAUAAUUUUUAUUCUAAAUUUGUAACAGCUAUCAGUGUUAGAAUUUAUCCUUUUAUGAUACAAACUUUUCAUCCAUACGUCCAUUUGUUACAUACUUACAACAAAUCAGGAAAUUUUAAUUAUACCAAGUAUAUAGACAGAACUAAAUUUUAGGUCCUUCUAACCUCUCAGUUGAGGGGAGGGACAAGCAAAUAAACACACAGCUAUGCAGGCACAAGGUACCCUAGGACCCUAGAGGGAGACCCAUGACCAGGAUGGAAAAGUCCAGAAAGACUUGUUGGAACAGGUGACCCCUGGUGAGCAAAUGAUGUAGCCAUAGGGUUGUUGGUAUACAAAGUGCAAAAGGUCUAAGAUAAGCAUGUUUUCAGAGGAAAGAUAAAGAAUAGUUGGUAACUGUGUUAGUCAGGGUUUCUACUACUUUGUUAAACACCGUGACCAAAAAGAACUCAGAGAGGAAAGGGUUUACAUAUUUCAGUUCACAGUCCAUUGAGGGAAGCCCAGGAAGGGACUCAAGGCAGGAACUGAAGCAAAAGCCAUGAAGAAACGCUUCAUGGUAGCUUGUUCCCCAUGGCUUGCUCAGUCUGUUCUUACAGCACUCAGAACCACAAGCCCAGGGGUGGCACUGCCCACAUGUGAGCUGAGCCCUCCCACAUCAAUAGUUAUUCAAGGCAAUAUGCCAGAGACUUGCCUACAGGCCAAUUUUAUGGAGGCAUUUUCUCCAUUAAGAUUCCUUAUCCCCAGAUAUAUCCAAGUUUGUGUCAAGUUAACAAAACCCAAGCAUCACAGUAGCCAGUGGUGAGAGGAAGAUGUAAGGCUGAGGGCUCUACAGGAGGGUGAGGUUUAAAACAAUUGCCAUAAGAAGGACAAAGGCAGUAUGUUCCUAGUGAGGGAGAAGGCAAGAUCCAGAACACAACCACAAAGGUUAGCCUUAGACAAGUAUUGAGAUCUAGAGCACAAGGUUGUCAACAAGGACUAGGAACCAAUGAAAUUCACAGGCAUGCUAUUCACUCAAUGUGCUGUUCAAAGAGAAGCACUGAGCAAGUCAAAAGUAGCCCUCAUCCUCAUAGCUCUUGUCCCUGAAGAACAACAUAAGCUGAGAGCAGGUGAGUCUGCAAGGUAGUACAUGGUGGAUGGAUCUUUUACUUCUGAGAAGUCAUGAAACAAAAGUUCCUGACUUUCAUAAGCCAGGAGAUGGUUACCAAAAAGAGUGAGGAUCCAGGCAUGGAAAUGCACUGAUCUAGAAUAAAGAAGUAUAGACGAAUUUUUAAAUGGUCUUAUUAAAUAAAAAACACAGAGCCAAAUAUAAGGGUGAAAGCCUUAGAGAUCAGGGAAAUAGGAAAGGUCACCAGCCAACCUUACCUCACCAACUCUGCAGCUUCCAAAUGCAAGCUACUUCCUGUCUACCCAUGCCUUUAUAUGCCUUGCUUUUCUGCCCUCUCAUUGGCUCUUAGCCCAGAUACCUCACUUUCUUGUCACUGCCUGUCUGUACAGACCUCCUGGUCUCUAUGGUUGGUACUGGGAUUAAAGGCAUGUGUCACCAUGCUUGGCUCUGUUCCCUAGUAUGGCCUGGAACACACAGAGAUCCUUCCUGAUAAGUGAUCAGAUUAAGGACGUAUGCUGACAGACUUUGCUUACUUAAAAUGACUGACCUUUCCCCCCUGAUCUCCAAGAUUUAUUUAUUUAUUUAUUUAUUUAUUUAUUUAUUUAUUUUAUUUUUUUGGUUUUUUGAGACAGGGUUUCUCUGUGUAGCUUUGCGCCUUUCCUGGAUCUCGCUCUGUAGACCAGGCUGGCCUCGAACUCACAAAGAUCCACCUGGCUCUGCCUCCCGAGUGCUGGGAUUAAAGGCGUGCACCACCACCACCCAGCCCCAAGCAAGCUUUACUUAUCAAAGCACAAAUAAAAUAUCACCACAAUGAAGAGUGCUCUAGUGGGGUCCCUAGCAAAGAAGCCUCUAGUAGAGAGGCACCUGAGCCAAGGAGAAUGGCUAUGCCCUAGAGCCUGUCUUCCCAGUGGAGGGACUGAGUCUGUGACUGCAGCUCCUUUCAGGGAACUGUAAUGUCCUGGAUGUAUACCAACAUUGUCAGGCAGAGGAGUUUGCCUGUGAUGUAUUAUGAAGAAUGGCACAUAGGUUUCUCCAUAAAUGGGUCAGCUCUGCUUCCUGUGAUUAGGAGAUGUAGGCAAGGAUUAGAGCUGCUUCAGAAAGCCCGCCUUCUCUUCCUGUAGUUCCUCUUCAGUGCAUGUCCAUCUUCCACCCUAUACCACUGGAACUGAUACUGUCUUGGUCCAUACAUCCCUCUAAUCUGAUUCAGAACACUGUUGAAGGCUACUGUGUCAGCCAUUUUUCUUGGCACAGGCGAAAUAAAAGAACAAAAGGCAGUUCUGUCCUUUACAAAUUACCUUAUUUUAAUUUUAUACCUUCAUCUUUUACCAUUUCCUCUAAUUUGCCUCAAUGUUUAUAUCCCUUACACAAAAGCUUUUUUAGUACAGAAGUUCCAGCUGUUAGAAGGGUAAUGUCACCAGCAGGGCCAUCACAAGAGGCACCUUGUAACCAAUGCAUUAAUAUUUCUGUAGCACAUUUAAACAAACAAGUAAAGACAAUAAGUUAAGUCUCAUGCCAGAUCAGAUUUUGCCACUAAGUGAACAUUUUUUUUUUGAAAGACAUGCUUUUGGAGUUUCCGGCAGUGUUUAGACUCAGGGGAUAUGGGUUGGGCCAUGAACCCAUGCGAUAAUCGCUGCAUUCAGGAACUUGAACUUCUGCCACAGGUUCCAAUUUUACCUUCUGGCACAUCAUAUUUGUAGCUGUGUGGUGUUGGGCAAAUUAUUCUCUAAGGUUUUUUUUAUAACCAAAAUACAAGUAAAAGUGCUGGUUUUUCUCCAUUACACAUACUGAAAAAUAUACAAAAAUAACACACCUGGAAUUAGACAGCAUUCUAAGAGGUUCUAAUACACCUUGCUUGGUAUGUUUGAGAUUGGUGCCUGUAUUAAAGGCUACUCUGCUUUCUAAACCUUUCCCUGACUUGCCCCUUCAGCUUAGCUCUAUUUUCCAAUCAUAAACCGGCAUUAAAUGUUCAGAUGUCCAGUGACCCCACCAUUCCUUUCUCCCUGAUCACUCCAAUAUCCCAAGGAAAGCAGGUCACCCUCUCUGUCCCUUCUCAGUCACUGAGCUAAGGGCAGUGCUGACAUCCAAAACUGUGAUACCAAGAGGGGGCGGGGGUAUAUCCCUGCACAUGAGCACAAUCAGAAGUUAAGCUCCUGGGAACAUAAUUAAAUUUCACAAGAAACAUUCAAAGUACUGCAACUACAGGAGGAAGACAUGAUCCUUCCCAUUCAAACAAAGCACGAACUGUGGGUAGUUAUUGGCUGAUAAUAAAGCAUCAGGAAAGAUGAUUAAAAACACAUGGACAUUCUCUCUCUCUCUCUCUCUCUCUCUCUCUCUCUCUCUCUCUCUCUCUCUCUCUCUCUCCCCUCCCUCUCUCCAUCUUUUCCUUCCUCUCUUCCUUCCUCCCUCCCUUUCUCUCUCCCCUACAUGUAUGUGUAUAUAGGUAUGUGUUCAUACAGGUGCAGUGCACACAUGUAAGCAAUCAUGUGAAAGUGAGAUGACAAGUUUGGGUAUCAUUCCUCAAAGAAUAUCCAACUCACAUUUUUACAGACCUAUAACUAACUAAAUUAGCUAGGUCAGUCAACCCGAGGGGGCCACUCUCUCUACCUCCUGAUCCCAAGGGCUGGAAUUACAAGCACAUCCCACAAUACCUUUUAUUUUGGUGAAGUAGGCAAGUGUAAAUUCAAAUAUUUGUAUAUUUAGUGUGUGCACAUGUGUAUGAAUGCACUGUUGCCCAUAUGUACACAUUUGAAUUCAAUUUAUGCUAGGUAUCUUCCUCUAACACUCUACACUUCAUUGAUAUGGGAUCUCUCACUGAACCUUGAAUUUGAAGUUUUUGCUACAUUGGCUGGCCAGCAAAUCCUGUGAUAAGUGUCUCUGCUACCCUCCCAGCUCUGUGGUUAAAGUAAUGUGACUGCACCUGGUAUUUAUAUGUGUGCUGGGAGUCCUAAUGCAUAGCAAGUACUUCACUCCCUGAGCUCACUUCCAUGUCUCUUGGCUUUCUCUUACAAGAGCUCUAGAAAUCAAACUCAGGUCCUUGGCUUUGAUGGCAAGUACUUUACUUGGUUGAGCCAUAUUUCCAGUUUCCUCUUCCCUUUGUUCUUCUUAUCUGUUGGUUAGGUACUUGGGGUAGGUUGGGUUUUUCAUAGUAUUAGUCAAAGCAUAGUACAAUUGUUAAUAGUUCUAUAAGAAAAAUCCCAUGAUGGAGACAGGAGAGACAUUUUGAUGAGUAAAGUGCUUUCCACAGAAGUAUGAGGAUUUAUGUUUGGAUUCCAAGAACCAGUGUAAAAGUCCAUGGGCAUUCUGUGUCUGAAAUACCAGCACUGAGGAAAGAGAGACAGGUGGUUCCCUGGAGCUCACUGGCCAUCUAGUCUAUCUGUGGCAGUGAGCUCCAGGCCCAGUGAAAGACCAUCUCAAAGUUUAAGAUAGAAAAUUAUUGAGAAAGAAACACAAUGUUGAAUUCUGUCUUAUACAUACAUGUAUAUGUGCACCUGCACAUAUGUGGAUAUACACAAACACAUACUCAUAUAGCAUCACACAUGUACACAUACAUACAAAAUAAAAAAAUAAAGGUCAUGUGAUAUACUCCUGAGUAAAUUGUAAACUGCUCAUAUUGACUUGAUAUACAUCCUGGCUGUCUUAGAAGGUGGCUACCAGCAACAAUUAUAGGGCCAUGGAAGGAUGCAUGAAAUAAACUAUGGAAGACUUUAGAAAGUUAGAAACAGCACUCACCUUGCAGAAAGAGGCAGUCCAGUAGACUCAGAAAGAGGCUAUGGCAGUGACCCUUAGUUGGAGCACCAAAGAUACACAGAAGGUAUAAACAUCCUACAGCAAAAUGAAAUCAUGUGAUUGACACAUAAGAAAUGAAUCAUGUUUUUUAAUACUUUUUAAAGAAAUGUUGAUAAGCAUCAUUGUUCUAAGGUUUUGCUCAGUUUUUCCCUAUACUUACUACAUAAAGAAACUGCCUACAUGUUACUAAAAUGGAUACACUAAACAUUUACUACACUAAUCUUUAUCCAUUCUAACUCCCUACAAACACUACAAUAGGCCUCAUUUCUUUUUCUUGUAUCCAAGUACAGAUAGUUUUUAUUCAUAAGUAAUAUACCACACUCCAAAGCAGGAAGUAUUUAAAUAUUAAUAUUAGUUAUUUGAUAGAAACUUCCUUAAUUUGCAAAGUCUAAAUGCUAAUUACUUGCUCUAUUAAGUUUUCAGUUAUAAAAUUAUGUCCAAGAGAAUUAUUAUACUGUAAAUGCAAUAAAUGCUAUAAAACUCUUAAUUACAAAUUAAUGUCCAUGUUUCCUUUCAACUAUUAAAGUAACUAAUCAUCCUUUUACUUGUCUUGAAAGAAUUACUGAACAUUUUGAAGAGACAAUGUGCUCUUCUUUUUUUACUCUAUUUCCCAUGUUUAGUGAGAGAAUAUGAGUACAUUUCUAAUAACUUCAAGGUUAAUUUUACUUUCAGCAAUAUUAUUUCAAUUAUUACUGCUGAUAUAUUUAUUAAUUUUUAAUUCACUCUUUUGCCUUUUAUCAUAUUUUUUUUUUUUUUUGGUUUUUCGAGACAAGGUUUCUCUGUGUAGCUUUGCACCUUUCCUGGAACUCACUUGGUAGUCCAGGCUGGCCUUGAACUCACAGAGAUCCGCCUGCCUCUGCCUCCCGAGUGCUGGGAUUAAAGGCGUGCACCUUAAUUUUGUUGUGAAAUAUCUCAAAAAUGAGCAAGGCUGUUGGCUCAAGUCUAUAAUGGCAGCUACUUGGGAGCUGAGUCAGGAGGGUCACAAAUUCAAAUCUUGCCUCAGCUACAGAUGAGUUUAAAGCCAACCUGGGCAACUCAAUAAGAUCUUGUCUUGAAACAAAAGUAAAAAUAAAACUAAGGGUAGAGCUCAGUAUAGAAUAUUUGCCUAGCACACACUGGGUAUAGAUACCCAAGUACUGGAAAAAAAUAACAUAAUCUAAUAGAGGCUGAAUUAUAUAGCUCAAGUUUUAGACACUAGGUUCAAUCCCUUGUAUAACUACAACAAAAUAUUAAAUUAAAAUACAUCUGUAACUGUGCAGAGUUUAAUAUGCACAAAUUGAGGUAGAUUUGAUGUUCUUAGGUAAAUUGAAGUAGAUAUGAUAUUCUUAGGUAAAUUGAGGUAGAUAUGAUAUCCUUGGGUAAAUUGAGGUAGAUAUAAUGUCCUUAGGUAAGUUGAGGUAGAUAUGAUGUCCUUAGGUGCCUCCAUCUGAUCACUCUCCCCACAUUCUGAGAAAUAGAUUCUAAUACAAACACAAAUGAGAUUGAACUCCAGAUGUGAGCAAAGCCCAUGUAACACCAUGAUUUCAGUCUCUGACCAUGAGCAAAGAAUGAUGUCUGUCCUGCCAUUCAGAUUACAGAAACCAGGAGCCAAUGAUUAGAUGCUGUGUGAAACUGCUAACUGGCCCAUUUGUCCCCUUAGUAGAAAAUUAAUGCAAAUGGUGCUGGAUGUUUGUUUCUAAGCUUUGUGAAUCCAAGUGGUGCUGAUCUAAGCAUCAUCACACAUCAAUUUGUGCACACAGAACAAAAAUUUUUAUCUAGGAAUAGAAUUGCUGGGUCUUAGAAUAAACGUAUCUUCAACUAUGGCAGAUUAUGAAUGACUUGAAUUCCAUAGUAGAUUUAGUGAUUAAUCUGUCAGUAGCGGAUGCGCUAAUUCUGAACUUCAAACCCCACAGCACUAGGUUUGGCCAGAACAGGUUACAUCAGUUGAUGCUUCAUCUUACUGUAAACACUAAGCUCUUCAUUUUGUCUUAUUUCAGUUUGCUACACUGUUCUGUCCAUGGUGCCGUGCCUAUGGGGCACACAGGCUGUCCCUGUCCAGUGAGGCACACAGGCUGUCCCUGUCCAAUGGGGCACACAGGCUGUCCCUGUCCAGUGGGGCACACAGGCUGUCCCUGUCCAGUGGGACACACAGGCUGUCCCUGUCCAGUGGGACACACAAGCUGCUUUCUCAUCUUCUCCUCCUGUUCUUUGUCCAGCUAGUCUACACCAAGAGAGGAACACAGCAAGUAUCCAGCUUGACCCAAGUAUUUCAGCUCUGUAGGGUCUGUGGAAUGUUCCUUGUGCCUGACAUAGCACUCAAACAAAGGUCUUCAGAUAUCAUGAACUCCCUAGGAUGGGGAAUUCAACCAGCACUUCUUAGUUUUGGGUCUCUGAACUUUCCAUUAUUUUCUCAGGAUUGUAACUAAGCCUUUAAACAAACAUUUGUCGCAUCCUAGCUAAAAUUUUCCUGGGAUUUUAAAAUGUUUGCUUUAGUAAUUUCAUACAUGUAUACAAUAUACUUAGAGCAUAUUCACACAUCCACUCUUUUCCCUUUUAAUUCCUUCAGUCACUCUCCAUCCCCUUUCCAACUACAUUUACUCUUCUUUGGAGGGGGUAGUAGCAAUUGAGCCCUGGAAUUUUUUAACUCUUUUUCCUACUUGUGAUUAGAAACAAAAGUUCCCUAAUAAAUUUUAGAUAGGAUUUAAAGCAUUCCAUUAACUUUUUUUUUUCUGAAAGAAAGAUGGAUUCUUAUGGGUAUAACCUGAUUGUCUCAAUGCUUGAGCUCACAUCUCUUUAUUGCUGUCUUCUCUUUGAGCUUCAGAUCCUCAUGUCUCCACCCUCUAGCUUCUAAAUCACUGAAAGUUUUUUUCAUAAAAUAUUUUACAUAACUGUUUGGUAAUAAAGUCUAAGACAAUCAUG